CCUUCGAUAGCUCAGUUGGUAGAGCGGUGGACUGUAGAUGGAAAAACUGACAUCCAUAGGUCGCUGGUUCAAAUCCGGCUCGAAGGA
rfam:Papilio xuthus contig6741, whole genome shotgun sequence.